UCUCUUUUGAGAGUGUAUUGACCUACAGUCAUUUUAACAUUACUGUACAGACAUGGAAAGUAAAUGGGAUCAGGUGCAUGCCCUCCUGACAGAAGGCACAUACCCCUCGGGGUAUGGAAAAAGUCAGAGGCAAAAUCUGAGGAGAUAUGCCUCCAAAUUCAGAGUAAGGGGUUAGUAUCACAAGUCUAUGAUGCAUGUUAUUUAGAAUACUGUAUGUGGCGAUAACGCAUUAUUAAAGUAAUGUAUCAUUAACAGAAAAAGAUCUCUGGUUUGGUAAUAAGAAGGUGGUGAAAAAGAGGGAGGAAGCCAGGAGACUUUUCAUGGAGUUCCAUUCCUCCCCCAUGGGAGGUCAUACUGGCAUCCUUAAAACAUGGGCAGCAAUCUCUUCCAGGUUCUACUGGACCGGGAUGUCUGUAGACAUAAAAAAUUGGAUCUUAGAAUGUGACAGAUGCCAAAAGGUUGGAAAACCAUUGACUGCAGUGGGGGAGUUGCAGCCGAUAAAGGUCUCUGGCGUGUGGGAUUUGAUUGGGAUCGACCUUACUGGACCACUUCCCAAAACUGUCAAUGGCUUUCAAUACAUUUUGACAGCUACUGAUUUUUUUUCCAAGUGGGUGGAAGCUUUUCCACUCAAGUCCAAAUCAGCUGCAGAA